rnacentral:lncRNA from 1 species
UCCUAUGAUUUGACUUAAAGCUGUUGAAGCUUUUAAUUCUAUUGCACAUGUCGAAGGUCUUGGUUCUACUACUUGUAUGUCCUCUACCACUUGUAUUUUUGACAUAUUCUUCUUAUUCCAUUUGAGGUAUGCUAAUCGUAUUAUAGUAAGCUGACCAUGACAAUACAUUAGAAUGAAAACUAUUCUUUCAGCAAGACUAGUUGUCGGGAUAGAAGUGAUUUUUCUUAGUUUGGGUACUGAAAUAUACCCUCGACUCAAACCUAUAAAUUAUUUUUUGUUUCCAUUUAAAUUAAAUUUAGGAGUUGGUGAAAAAGUUGCGUAAAAUCGAUAUAAAAAUUUUAAGGGGAUUGAAGUAUUCAAUUCAUUUCGAUUCUGAAUAUUAGGAAGCUGUAAGAAAGGAACUUAUACCUGUCACUUGACAGAAAAUCUCUCAAAAAAAUUGGUAGUUCCUAGUUUUCAUUCACGUUUUAAGAAGAUGAACAGCACAUGUUUCUAAUUAUGUCCAGAUGUUUUUUACGUUUCGUUUUAAGCAAAUAUUAUUUGAUAAUAAUAUAUCGCAACAUACGUACAUCAGUUUGUAUGUUGAAUUAGUAUAGAGUCUACCAAUUACCGGGCAGUUGAGCACAAAUUUUUAUGGAUUAGAAUAGGUACAACUAAAACUGAUUUCAUUUUUAUAUAGUUCACUUGUUCUUUAAUGUUAUAUUUUUCUUCUUUCAUGCAUCUUAUGAAUUUGUAGACUGCGAAUGUAUCGAGCUGCUCAAGGAAUUUUCAAGGAUCCUGAUCCUAUUGUCUCACAAAGCUGUGAAGUUGCUCUUAGGAAUCUUGAUUGUCUGGGAACAAACUCGUUAUUUAAGGUAAAUCUUGAUGCAAAGAUAAAAAGAUUUGACUUAUUUUUUCAUGUCAUUGCUCCUUCCUUCACAGGAAAUGAGUUUAUUACGCACAUAUAUAUUCCAAUUCACUCUCGAUUUCUUAAAUGUUUGCCUUUAUUAUUUUGUUUUUUGUUGUGAGUUUUCAGUUUAUGGUUGACACCAGAGCAUUGAAUACAAAGGGAAUCAGCAAAGAAGACUUGGGAUGAUAUGUCAAAGAAGAAGAAGCACUUUUGGUGUGGUUGGAG